GGGUCUAUGAUGACAAACCAAUGUCUCGAAGCGAAAUGAUGACAUAAAAAUCAUGCUCAAUAGGAUUACGCUGAGGCCC
ensembl:snoRNA SNORD115 Small nucleolar RNA SNORD115